UCUCUUUCUUUAGUUCUACUUCUCCUGUUUAACCCUCCUUUACUGUCUUUUGUAGCCUUGCAAGAGAUAGACACAAGUCUUGAAAAGUUCUGGGAACCAGUGGAUGACACAUAUCUUGAAAAGUCCUGGGAACCAGUGGAUUGCAAAACAUAGUUCUGGUGACAUGAGAACUCAGUAAGUCACAGUUUGAAAGCUGAGACUGGAUGCCUGGGAAAGAAACACUGAUGUCUGAAAGGAAACAGGGCCUCAGGAAGGAUACGAAAGGAAGAUUAUACUUUUAGCUUAAGGCUUGAAACGUCAGGCUUGAUACUCCAUGUGAUUUACUGAUUCCUUCAUUUCUAUGAAGCUAAAGAAGACCUGAAGAUACCAGUGUAUCCCAGGAGAUGGAGAUCUUAAAGAUCCUGACUCUUAAAGGGACUGGAAAAUGAGUCUACUUCAUUGCUGUUGUGUGUGCCACAUACAGAGGAGUUAUGGAGAAACAACAGCAGCAGCCAGUGAAGCAUCUGUAUUUGGCUGGCCACAGUAAUGGACAAAAAGGAGGAUUUUCUUCCUAAUUCUUCAUUAACAUUAGCGAUUAUGUGUUUCUUUGCUGAUUACAGAUAACUCAGGGCAGAAAACAGUGACAAGAAGGUAAGAGAUUGUCUGAAACAGAUGGAGAAAUGUACUGGAAAGGAAAGGGAAAGAGUGAGGUCAUUGCCCUGAAGAUUAAAGCACAAUUCAAGACUUCUUCCUAUCAGAGAGGAAUAUAGCAGAGGAAUAGUUUUAGAGGUUGGUUUUCAUCUGUGUUGUUUUUGUUUGUUUGUUUGAUUUGAGUACGUAACAAUAUGGAGUAUAGAAUAGGAAGUGAACAGACAGAACACAGGUGAUGUAACAGUUUUUCACUCUUAUGUUGUCUCUUUAAGGCAAAUGACUAGAAAUGUUUACCCUGAGAUUGCUGACCCUAAUACAUGGCUUCUGACUGUUGGUUAUUUGUACAAGUUCCAGUAUGGUGAACCAGCAGCAGCUGUGUUUCACAGGGUGUGGUAGCAGUACAAACUGGCUUAGUAAUUUAUUUAUUAGUAGUGUCACUUAGUUUUAAAAAAAUGUAAUAUCUAUAUUAUGGAUUUGCAAACAUUUUACACAAGAAAGAUUUUAUUUUCCAAAAGUGCAUUUAGUUAUUUUAAAAAUAUUUCAAGCCACUUUCAGCAACUUCAAGCCUAUAUGAGUUACCAGAACAGUCUCUAUGUAUUACUCAGACUGAAUCUCUUUGUAUUUGAGGGUAAUGAAUGGUAGUAUUAAGGUAGUUCUGUUAAUAUUUGACUACUGUCUCUGUUGCUUUACCAUAAUUAUUCUCCUUGUGACGUGUUGCUGUAAACCUGGGGAGAUGUGUAUAUUAUAGUAAAAAUUUAAACACUUUAGAAUCUCUAAAUUAAGCAGAUAAAUAGAAAAUGUUAAGCAUUUAUUGUGUAUUUCAUUUUCUGAUCUCAAUACAUUUCCCAGUGAAACAAAAAAAACCUGAACAACUUUAUUAAUAUAUUUCAUGGCAUUCCUGUGUUAUGGGAACAAUAUAUUCUCAAGCGCUCCAUGCAUCUGAAAUUUGUCUCGAUGUGGCCCAUUUAUUUUAAUUUCGGUCUGUCAGUAGAAAAAAAGAAGUAAUUAAACUUGUGACUAGCAUGGAGAAACGUUUUGCGUUCUAAACUGUAGCUUGAUACCCAGUAGUUUCUUUAUAUUUCUUCCAGUUGUCAGAUCAAAGUCUCUCAAGUACUAUAACUCAGCCAUGCUUUGAUUAAUUACUUCACACAAUGAAUUUGCAAAUUAUAUUUCUGAAGUGAUUUAUGUACUUUUUAACUCCAAUCAACUCUCUCUCCCGCCUGCUUUUUUUUUUUUUCCUUCCUCUCUGCUCCAAUCUCUGCUCUGAUGUUAUUUUAUGCUAAACAAAUCUGUAUAAAUAGAGCGAAGUCUUACCUGAACAGUGCAACUGAGCACAACUAUAGAGAUCACUUAAACUGACAUCACCCAACAGCAGUCCUCAUCAGGUCAUAAGUCUCACUGCUUUGUGCAAAUACAUGAAGUCCCUCCCUAAAAAUUCCCAGCUACAGGCGUUUUGUUCCAGAUAGAGCUACUGGAAUAGCUGAGCUGAGGCAACAUUUAAGAUGCAUGUUCAAACCAAAUAUUUGAUUACUGUAGUUAGACUCUGGUAAAUGGUAUUUGGAGAAGUAAUAACUUGUUUGCAACAGUGAUCUGCUUGUCUGGGCAAAGUUUAGUAUUUAUAUUUGUGAUUUCAUUGGACAGUUUCACAUGACAUACUGUUAUUCAUUUUUCACCCAUUUGCAUUGCACAGUGGUAUCUAAUCUCUCUUUGAAGGUAUUGUGUUCAUAAAUAUCCAUGCUGUCCAUACAACUUGAUCUGAUAUACCUCUGAAAGAGUGUGAAGAUUUACUUCUCUCACUAUCCCUAAGUCAUCUCCUUAGCUCUGAAACAAUGUGUACAUUCACCACCUUUAGAAGUAAUUUAAAUCUAAGUGCUGCUUUGUUUUUAAUUAAGGUGUUAACUGGACAAGGAGAUAGACUUGGAAAUGAUGAUCUCCAGAGAUCCCUUCCAACCCCUGCAAUCCUGUGAUGUGGCACAGUGAUGAAGGACCUAUACUGGGGUCCUGUUUACACACAUGACUGGAGUAAUGUCCCAAAUGCUCUCAUUCCUUCUCACCACUUCAAUUUAAUUGUUUUGCACAUCCAUAUAGGAAACUGCACAGAGUACAUGUUUAAUGCUAAAUGAGCUGAGAUCUUGAAGAAUUCACUCCUUGAUUUGCUUUUAAAGUAUACUAACUCGUCUCUGUGAGACAAAACCCAGCAAUGGUUUUGGGGGACUGUGCAUUCUGAAGGCCCCUCAAGACAGGAAAAAUAGAUUCCAGUAAAAUUCAGUAAAUUUGGCUCUUUAACACUUUUGGCAAGCUUUACACUCUGGAACAUUCCAAAUUCACGCCAUGUCCAUGACACAUAGCAACUUUAUUAGUGUGUGAUACAUAACUUCUGUGCUGGUGGACUAAAGCUUUGAUCUCAUGAUGUUUUAAACACUCUGAACUAGGAAAAAGCCCACAAAAAAACCAUGGAAAACCACCAAGAUGGGGCAGUGGGGAUACCUGUGGCAAAUGUCAUGCAGAUGAAGCCAGUCUGCUGUAGAUGAGGAUGGUCAAGGCACAGAUAUGAAAGCAUUCUACAGCACCUAGCCCAGAGGUGAACAAUCAGUCCCUGAGACAGAAACAUUCAGCCAUAUAGAUACAACACCUUUGGAUCACGCUGUCUAUCUCAAGUCGUGUCUCCAAUAACUGUUAGUAACAGAGGCUUGAGGUAAUGAGUAUACAUUUUAAUAAAAUGUAGAGUGAUACUUCUAUAUAGAAUCAUAGAAUCCUAGAAUCCCAAGGUUGGA